rnacentral:tRNA from 1 species
GCCCCCGUAGCUCAAUUGGAUUAGAGCAGUCCCGUCCUAAGGGAAAGGUUGGAGGUUCGAGUCCUCCUGGGGGCA